GGGUGAAUGGUGCUUGUUGCCGUUGAGUUGUACUCGGCUUGCUCUGGAAAGCACCACAGAAGUCCUUGCAUAGCUACAAGGAAGAGCUCAUGUUGUUCAAAACUGGUUCUCAUCAUGCUUCUUUCAUCCUGGGUUUUGUAACACCCUUUGAAAAUGAUGUUCCUAUUAAGGCUGCCUGCCGAGAGGAGACUUUAUUAAUCUACCUGAGGGAGCGCUGCGCUUGGCGGGCAGAUCCUGGAAGGCGGAAGGCACGGAGGCAGGGGCGCCCUGAGGAAAGGAGGAUGACCAGAUGCUAUGAUGUUUGGAGCUACCACCAGCUGGCAACAGAUUCCUAAUUCAGUUUUGGACGCUGUCUCUGUCCCCCUUCUGCCACAAGGAGUGAGGAGAAGCUAGGAGUGACAGAGAUACUUGAUUGACUGUGAUGCAGGAGACAUGGCAGGGAGAACCAUCCUAGAAGCAUAUGGGAGGUAUAUAAAUUCUUCAAGAUGCUUGAGAGCAGCAAUACCUGCCAGAAUUGCAAGCAGUAGAACAAAACUCCAGCCUAACUGAUCAUAUUCAACAGCUGCUUCCUUCCAUUUUCUUCUCUUGUGGUUGUAGUAGUUGCCACUCUUUCUUCUUUUUGUCUCAGUUCCCUAAAGGAAGCAGGUUUCUGCCUUGCUGUGACUCCUUGGGUGAAAAUAGUACUUUUAGGACAACUCAAUGGGCAACAAAAAACAGGAAGAGUCUGCAGAGACUCAUGCAUGCAGAGAGAAAUUUUGUAUGAUCAUUUAUAUAUGAAGACUACAGCUCAACUGACAAAUGGCUCUGGUCUCCUUGAGUGGUUAUAGACAAUUCAGAAACAAAGCUAUCCUUGGGAAAGAUAUCACUUUGCAGCCUGUUAAAAGGCAUAAAAGGAAAGGAAAAGAAGAUCCAUUCCUUGGGAAAUUAAAAAAUAGCACUUCACUACGGUCAGUUCUGCAUGAUAUAAUUGUGCAAUGACUUCUCGGAGAAUUGGCUAGAUAGCCAGGAAGUUCUUUCCCAUCAACAGCGCUAAUGGAAUAUGCAGCUGGAUAUCUCCAACAAAAUCAUCAGAAGACAGUUUAAUCAGCUGGUAUGAAGUGGUCGUUAUUAGGGAUGUUAUUGAGUUGCUCACACAAAGGUGUCUAGUGCCAUUUGAAGUAUCCUACAGCAUUUAAGACGUCCUCAGGGCCCUAGUCUCCAGAUGCAAUCCCAAUGGGCAUGGAUUUCCCAGAGGUCCUCUCCAUAAGGAGAGGUCCAGCCCCAUAGGAAUGUCUCAAAUACCCUAAAGCAUCUUAGAUGGCACUUGACAUUUAUGUGUAUGCAACUGAACUGGUCCCUGCUUUCUGAGUUCAGAUUCCAAUCAGAUAAAUAGAAGUAGAUGCCAUCACCCGAUGCCGCCAUGCCUUCUCGGAUUAUCUGCAGGUCAGCGGGAAUAGCACUACAUUAGACAACAUGCCAAAGGUCAUCUUUGCAAUUACAAGCCCAUUGUUAGGAGUCUUUCGUGAUAACUAGUAGAAAAAGAGGAAGCAUCAAACAGCUCUUAAAAUGUGGGCAGUUGAACCUUAAUUAAAAGAUUUUUACUCCUGUAUUAUGUGGCUUCCCAGAGCUCUGUACAUUAAAGACAGUGUUGCCUCUUUUUGCAAAAGUAACAGUAAGAAUCAGUAAGAGAUGAGGAAUAUGUUUUAUGUGCCUUCAUCUUCCAACUAAAAUUCCUGACUGAACCAAAAGAUAAAAUUAUUGUCUGUAACUAUACAGGAGAUGAGAUCAAGUGGGUUUGUGUUUAAAUAGAUGCUGGAAUGGAAUCCUGAUGGUGCUGUAAGGAAGACAAGACCUUGGGAAAUAACCUCUGUAGAAAUGAGAAGAAUAAUACAACCAUGCAGACACAUGUACAGUGGGUAAUGAAACUAAAUUUUAAAAGUGUAAUACAUGUUUUACCAUAAAAAAUGAACAUUUAAGAGGGUCACUCAGUACUAAUUUGUAAAUGGUUCUUUUAAGAAUAUUUUGUAAUAGAUGAUUUGGCUGCUGGAUGGUAGUGGAAAAUGAACUACUGAAUUUUGUAAAUAUUCAGCAGGAUCUUGUUGAUUAUGGAAAAACAAAGUACACACACACCCCAGGCCCCAAUAGCAUGCAAAAGUGUGUAGUAAGUUAUCUUUAAAAAGCAGCCAAACUGGCAGUGCUUAAAAAACAAACCAGUAACCGGUUAAUGUAACAUUUAGGAUCUUAAAUACUUGCAUGUUUCUUGCUUUUCAAAUUAACCUGUAAAAGCCAGUGGGUUUCAUGUGCAAUAUUUAGAUGAGUUUUAAGAAAAUAUUACCUUGUUUCCAGAAAUAUUUUGCAUGUAAAGCAAGUAUGUUAAGACAUUUUGAUAACACACAUUAAAGAGUUCCUGAUCCUGCAAACUACUAAGCACUUCCUCUGAGUGGAAUCACUUAAUUCCCAGGCUUUGCUCAACAUCACGCUUAAUUAAACUUUUGCUAAUAAACGUGAAGAGCCCAAUUUAGCUUCAUAGCUAAACUCCAUUGACAAAGUGGUUGUUCAGUAAAGCCCACUUAGCUGCCUGUGGAUUUAUUUUUCGUCUCCCAUGCAAUAUUUGUACAUAUAUAUAUAAAUAUAUGUGUAUUUUUAAAGCAAGAUUUUUAGACAUUCAAGAUGUGAAAAAAAUAAUUACUUCACAACAUAAACGAAAAUUAUUUCUUUAAAGAAAAUGUUUUGUCAGGGUAGCUUCUUAAAUUUGAAUAUAAAAUAUCUCACAAACCAACAUACAUCUUUAUUAUGAUGUUCUCCUCUAGUAUAUUUUAUGCUUGAAUGUUCUUAAAUGCAAAUGUAUAAAUUACAACUUUAUUCUUAUUGUGAAGAAAGGGGUAAGAAUGUAAAUUGUAAGUUUAGUCAUAAAACUGCAACAUUUUUCUGUUCUAUGAUGCUAUUAAGAAAGAUAACAGGACAAAAGUUUUGCUUUCUAUAUCCUGUCACCACACUUGUCUGAUAGGAUAAUCUGAGUUCUACACUCUUUCUGCUUUCAACUUAAAACCAUUAAUGAGAAUUUUUAAACAAGCAAACUUGAUCUUAUGUAAAAAUAAUGCUUUGUAUGUACUAUGUAUUUUCCAGCUGCUGUCCAGUAAUAGGCACCAUUUGAAGCUUUUUGCUCAGAUAAAAUUUUCUCAGGAA